UCCUGGAGAAGGUAUUGAUACAGGUGGUC
rnacentral:piRNA from 1 species